AGCGGCGGAUGGGUGAGUAACACGUGGGGAACCUGCCCCUAAGUCUGGGAUACCAUUUGGAAACAGGUGCUAAUACCGGAUAAUAAAGCAGAUCGCAUGAUCAGCUUUUGAAAGGCGGCGUAAGCUGUCGCUAAGGGAUGGCCCCGCGGUGCAUUAGCUAGUUGGUAAGGUAACGGCUUACCAAGGCGACGAUGCAUAGCCGAGUUGAGAGACUGAUCGGCCACAUUGGGACUGAGACACGGCCCAAACUCCUACGGGAGGCAGCAGUAGGGAAUCUUCCACAAUGGACGCAAGUCUGAUGGAGCAACGCCGCGUGAGUGAAGAAGGUUUUCGGAUCGUAAAGCUCUGUUGUUGGUGAAGAAGGAUAGAGGUAGUAGCUGGCCUUUAUUUGACGGUAAUCAACCAGAAAGUCACGGCUAACUACGUGCCAGCAGCCGCGGUAAUACGUAGGUGGCAAGCGUUGUCCGGAUUUAUUGGGCGUAAAGCGAGCGCAGGCGGAAAAAUAAGUCUAAUGUGAAAGCCCUCGGCUUAACCGAGGAACUGCAUCGGAAACUGUUUUUCUUGAGUGCAGAAGAGGAGAGUGGAACUCCAUGUGUAGCGGUGGAAUGCGUAGAUAUAUGGAAGAACACCAGUGGCGAAAGGCGGCUCUCUGGUCUGCAACUGACGCUGAGGCUCGAAAGCAUGGGUA
rnacentral:rRNA from 1 species